CCCAGGCCACGUGCCGAGGGGAGCAGGCUGGGCCGUUACACCACCCCCCAACCGCAGGUGCAGCAAGGCCAACAUGCCAGGCUGGGAGGGGCUGCCGGCCCCUCGGUGACUUGCACCGGGCCCGCAAGCAGGCUGGGGAGGUGCUGCUGGCCCCACCGCUGAGCCGCCUCCCUCACCGCACCUCUGCUGCCCCUCCAAACCAGCCAAGAUCAGACCUUGAUCUCACCUGAUUAAGCGCUUGCUUAGUACAGGGCAGACCCUCGAGACUUAUGCUCAGGCCAGUGUCUCCUGGGAGGGAAGGAGGUGGGGAGGCCGUAUUUGCCCCCACACAGAGCUAGGGCUGAUUCUCUGAGGGACCCCCCCCCAAUAGCACCUCCCCCCUUACCCUGAUGCUUGUCCAUUAGGUGAUGGCCCUAAUGGACGCCUUGAUGGACACGUCCGGGACCCAGGGACCCGGAGACCAGGAAUCUGCUGGUCUCAGGGAGCCGCAGAACCUGAAACCCAAAAAUACCAGGCUUGAUCGCCUGCUCUUCGGUAGUGUCGCCAUCCACCCGCAUGGGGGCAGCAGCGCUCCACCAAAAAGACCUCUUCUCCCUUUGUCUGUUAAUUCUGGAGAUAGAAAGCCCCCAAAGUUUAGGAAAAGCUCUUUUCCGAGGAAAAUAAAAGGGCAGGUGACUUUUAUCCCACAAGUCCCUGCCCUGUGCCCGUCACUGCGCUGGGCGCAAGGCCUGUGUCAUCCUGUCACAUCCCCCCCCAAAGGAGAGGAGGGCCUGGGGCCUGGGCCGGCAGCAGGGGGCGCUGUUCGUCCGGGAUCGUCAGACCCGCUCCACCCGGAGCCCUGGAGGAAGUGCCCAGGGAGGGCUGGGGGCCCGGAGGAGGCCUUGGGUUCGGAAUUAGGCUGGCUGGAGUCCGGGAUCCACCACAUCAUACACUCGUGCCUUUGGCAGGUCACUAACCGCCCACCGCCUCAGUUUCCCGGUGGGACGAACUCUCUCUCACAGAAGGAGCCCCUGGAGCCCCUGGCCGAACACAUCUGAAAGCACGGAGCCAGACCUCUGCAGCGCCCUCCAGCGGGCAGGUUCUGCGGGCAGCCAUCUCCUCGCAGGCCAGAACACCCCACGUCACUCCAGGACGGUUCGCCACCUUUGAGAAGAGAGGACUCCAGUGUCUGUUCGCUCUGGAAAUGUGGGCAUGUUCCCAUUCCAAAGGUGAUAGGAUCUGAGGGGAGGAUCCUUCCCAUUUUCAAAGCCUUCCUAAAAUCCCACUGAUUAGUGGGGAGGAGUGCAAGUCUACCCUUUCCCCGAACCACCCACAUGAAAUUUAGCAACAACAACAACAAAAAAGGAAAAUAUUAGAGGAAGAUCAUAUAAGUGUAAGAAGACAAGGCUGGCAGGACCUAAGAGAGUCUAGGUAGAUGAAGGAAUAUGGUUUACAUAAUGGGGAGCACCUGGUCUCCAUUUCAUGCUUCCAGCCUUGAUGGGAGGAAAGUAGGUAAACCUUAAAAGGGACUUCUUUCCAGUGGAGGCUGCAAGAUUCUAUUUUUACCAACCUCUAAGGUGUCCACCUUAUCCUUGCUGACCCAAGUUAUUCCAGUGAUUUACCAAGGGAAAUGGGUGGAACGACAUCCUUAUCUGGACUCCUUAUUAACAAUAUCCUACAUCUGUACAACACCAAAGCAAACAUCAACUCUUUUGAUCAAAAUGAUAAACCCCAGUGGUAGACAGAGUAUUCUCUCCUCUUUUACAAAUCAGAAGGCACAUGGAGCGGCUUGCACAGGAUCACGGUGAACUAGGCCCUGAUCCCCACCAGACUCGGAUCCCAGGCUUUCCACCAAGCUCUGUGGACUCAGAAAUACCAAGUGGUUCCAGAUUCAGCCAUCAGAGGAAGGAGCAUGAAUUGACUGGCAUUCCCAGGCCCCCUAAGACUAAGUGUCUUGUUUCCUGCCUCCGUGGCCCUUCCCUCUUCCUGACUCUGCCUGCAUGGAUUUGAUCCCCCUUCAGGAUGAGAUCAGAAUGGCAAGGCAGAGCUCUGUACCUUUAGGAGGCACUCCCUCAAUAAAUAUUUGAUGUUGCCGGGCACGGUGGCUCACGCCUGUAAUCCCAGCACUUUGGGAAGCCAAGGCGGGCAGAUCACUUGAGGUCAGGAGUUCAAGACUAGCCUGGCAAACAUGGUGAAACCCCAUCUCUAGUAAAAAUACAAAAAAUUAGCUGGGCAUGGUGGCGGGCGCCUGUAAUCCCAGCUACUAGGGAGGCUGAGGCAGGAGAAUUGCUUGAACCCAGGAAGUGGAGAUUGCAGUGAGCCGAGAUCGCGCCAUUGCACUCCAGCCUGGGCAACAGAGCAAGACUCCAUCUAAAAAAAAAAAAAAUUGAUGUUUGUGGCCUCAAGGCAAUACUUAUCCACUACUCAAGCAUAUGCCAAUGGGGAUAACUAAUAUCCAGACACACUCCCCAUGGCUGGUCCCUUCGCUGACUCUUUCUUAGCUGUCAGAUCUCAGCCUAAAGGUCACCUGGUCAGAGAGGUCCUUCCUAACCACCCUAAGCAGCUCCCUCCCCAGCCCCAUUUACUGUCACAUUAUAUUGUUUACUGUUUCUUUCCUUCACUCCACUCACAACAAAAUUAUUUCAUUUAUGUAAUAAUUUGGCUCUCUUCCCUACUGGAAUUUAAGGCUCAGAAAGUGAGGCGUCUUGUCCGUUCUGUUCAUUUCUGUAGCACUUAACUCAUGGUAAGCAAAAAUUUAAAGGAAGGAGUAAUAACAGAAAGAAUGAGCUCUGCCAUCAGAUGCCCCUUAUUUAUACCCUGACACUAGAUUGGGGUUAAAUGUUGACAAUCAUUGAAGCUGUUAGACAUAUGGGAGCUUGCUGGCCUCUUGACGUGCAUGUAUACGCACGCAUGAGGGAAAAUUUCAAUUAAAAGUUAAAAACAAAGUUGUUUAUCCCUGGGAUUUAACAGGCCUGAAUAGCAGGUCUCAAACGGGGCUCCUAGGGAGGUCUCUCCGCUUCUCCCAGGAAGAGCCAGGCCUGCCAUUGGUCACCACAGUGCUUUAGCUGAGAGUCAGUGAAACGGAUGUGCAGCUGAGGGAGAAAAGCAGUAUGUCAUGGAACCCUCAGAGCUUCUGGUGAGCACUGAAAGGAAUGAUACAUUUGUAGAGCAAUUACAUUCAGAUAUUUUCACUUAACGUUUUGUUGGGAUAACCGCAGUAUGAAGUAUUAUUAUCCCCAUGCUGAGUUUAUGACUUAUCUCAUUCAAAGCGUAACCCAAACGCUUUCAGCUAGACAGAAAUAAGAUUCAAGCCUAACACUUGCUGAGUCUCCAUUUCCUCAUCAGGAAGAUAAGAAUGCCACCCACCUCCUUCAUGCAAUGAUAGGGAAACGCAAGUAACAGGAGGGCGCUUAACAGUUUGCCAGACAUGUGGCCCACGCUCGCUCACUCCUGGACAGGAUAGGGCUGUGUCUUAUCUUUUCUAAUGCCAUGCACUACCUAGCACAGAGCCUAAGUGUGUAAUUAUUUGCUAAAUUUUAGCGACAAAAGGUCAACAGACAGUAAGUGGCAGAACAAGUCCUUGAAUCAACACUUUCAGAUCAAAGUGUUUUCCGCAACACCAGGCUGCCUCUCUGGUGGUUUGAAAAUACUUUUUAAAAAUCCCAUUGACAGAACUUGGACCUACCUAUAAAAUCAAUGUAAGCAAAUAAAAUACUUUGUUUAGUCCUUCUU